rnacentral:rRNA from 1 species
GACGAACGCUGGCGGCGUGCUUAACACAUGCAAGUCGAGCGGUAAGGCCCUUUCGGGGGUACACGAGCGGCGAACGGGUGAGUAACACGUGGGUGACCUGCCCUCAGCUCUGGGAUAAGCCUGGGAAACCGGGUCUAAUACUGGAUAUGACUCCAUGACGCAUGGUUGUAGGGGUGGAAAGCCUUGUGCGGCUGAGGAUGGGCCCGCGGCCUAUCAGCUUGGUUGGUGGGGUGAUGGCCUACCAAGGCGACGACGGGUAGCCGGCCUGAGAGGGCGACCGGCCACACUGGGACUGAGACACGGCCCAGACUCCUACGGGAGGCAGC